rnacentral:sRNA from 1 species
CUGCGUGUGAAGUGGUAAGACCAAUUCGAUGAAAACAGUAUAAAAACGCCGGUUAUUCCGGCGUUUUUUA